UGCAUGGACGUUCACUCACCUUGUACAUACACCACGAGAGACGAAAUGCACAGAAGAUUGACAGCCGCAAACAUCUCGCCUGACUGUGUGCUGCACUUCAUGUGGUCUGGGGGACGUACAAUACGAUUUCUAAAUCCCAUCGCCUAUCUGUCUGUCUGGGUCUGCAACCACGUAAACUUGCGAGGAUGCACCGUUUGUGUCCUCAUAUUACUGUAUUGACCCUCAAUGUUUACACCCAUCUCCUGUCCUAAACGGACCAAAGAUGUCAAACUGUGGCGCCAGUUAAAUCAGCACUAUGUAGCCAAAGGAGCACACAACGAUACUGUGGUCAGAUAAAAUACAUCGUCACUCGCCGCACCCACAGCGAUUUAUCAAAAUGUUUUAUAUUUGCAUUUGUAACACUUCUGCUAUCAGACGAAGAGUACAUCAUUCAUUGAA